ACUCCUACGGGAGGCAGCAGUGAGGAAUCUUGCACAAUGGGGGAAACCCUGAUGCAGCGACGCCGCGUGGAGGAAGACGGCCUUCGGGUUGUAAACUCCUUUUAGGUGGGACGAACAUUGACGGUACCACCUGAAUAAGGACUGGCUAACCAUGUGCCAGCAGCCGCGGUAAU
rnacentral:rRNA from 1 species